GCUUACGGCCGUACCACCCUGUCUGCGUCUGACCUUGGAAGCUAAGCAGGGUUGGGCCUGGUUAGUACUUGGAUGGGAGACCGCCUGGGAAUACCAGGUGCUGUAAGCU
rnacentral:rRNA from 1 species